rnacentral:snRNA from 1 species
CCAGUACAGAGAAGAUUAGUAUGGCCUCUGUGCAAGGAUGACACGCAAAUUCGCGAAGCACUCCAUAUUAAA